UCCACCGAGUAGUGCGCGGAGUCCUUCCCUGCAGUGUUUACCCUGCUGCUGCGGAUCAGGCGGCAGCUCUUGCUGGGAGCCUGGCCGACGGUAUGGGUUCUUCUCAGGGUUUGUUCCGCGCCUUGUGGAGAAUGCUGUCAAAAGAAGUGAAGGAGCACGUGGGCACAGACCAGUUCGGGAAUAAAUACUACUAUAUCCCGGAGUACAAGAACUGGAGAGGACAAACUAUUCGAGAGAAAAGAAUUGUAGAAGCAUCAAAUAAAAAAGAAGUAGACUAUGAAGUAGGGGAUAUUCCAACAGAAUGGGAAGCUUGGAUUAGAAAAACAAGAAAGAUUCCACCUACUAUGGAGGAAAUACUGGAGAAUGAAAAAAAUAGAGAAGACAUGAAAAUAAAAAGCAAAGCUUUUUAUGAAAAUGAGAAACUACUUGGCAAGGAGACCACUGAGGAACUCUUGGCUCCACCAGUUCAAACUCAAGUCAAAGGGCAUGCCUCUGCUCCGUUCUUUGGAAAGGAAGAGCCCUCAGCAUCUCCCACCAGCACUGGCAAAACCUUUCAGCCAGGAUCCUGGAUGCCCCAAGAUGGCAAGAACCGCAAUCAGUGAAUGCAUUAUGGUCGGUCGGGAGAAAGCCCCCACUUCCCUGCUGAAGCCGGACAGUAGGAGGGUCCUGAGUGGGUGAGCUCAACUCACACCAAAUAGUGGCGGCGAGUCAAGGUGAAGGUCUCCCAUCUACCCUCGACGGAGCCUGGCGAGUACCUCCUGGUUCACAUCCCACGGCGUGUUCUCUUUUCUGGCCGGACAGUACUUACACCCUCUCGUAAGGGUGACUAACAGCCCAGCCGUGAUGGAGCCACUGAACCUAGUUACUAUGGGGAAAUACAGCCAUGCUGUGCGAGGAAGGAGUUUUUGUUGUUGUUUUUAACUUAAGAACCUAACUUAUUUCACAAAAGAAUGAUUAGUACUUGCCCAAAGUAAACUUGAUAAACUGUCAGGGCAUAGAGUUCCCAUAGAGGUACUUGUUCUUUCAAUACUCAAAAGGAUGCAAAAGUCAACAAGCAGAAAGGUUUUUGGCUGGGGCCGGGUUUGAACCCACCACCUCCGGUAUGUGGGGCCAGCGCCCUACUCCUCGAGCCACAGACACUGCCAUGUCACAUACUCACCUUAAUGGAAGCCAGGUGCCAUGCUGUGAGCCACCCUAAUGAAAGGCAGAGGAACUGAAGGAACUUUCCGGCCAACAGUCAGUGAGCAACUGAAUCCUGCCAAUAACCAUGUGAGUGAGUGUGGAUGCACACUCUCUUCCCUUCCUGUAAAGCCUUUUAAAAUGCUGGCAGACACCAUGGAUGCAGUCUUGUGAGACAUUCUGAGCCGGAGGACCCAGCUAAACUAUGCCAGGGUUCCUGACCAAGAGAUACCAUGAGAUAAAUGUUGGAGGUUUCAAGCUGCUCAAUUUGGGGGUAGUUUAUUACUCAGCCACAGAUAAGUAAUACUAUGUUCCUCUUUAAAAAAAAAGCCACCACUCUGGAAGCCAGAAUUUUUCUGCACUCACAAAGAUUCUCAAACUUCCUGUUUCCUUGAUGUAGCUUUAACUACCUUUUCCAGAUAAAUGAUUUUGCACAGUUGUUUUCAACCUUGACUGUACACUGGAAUCAUCUGGGCCAUUUUUUAAAAAUACAAGUGCCUGAACUUUACCUCAAGAAAUUCAGUUUGAAUUGAUCUAGGGUGGGGCCCAGGCCUCAGUAGUUUUAAGUUUCUCAAGUAAUGUCAGUGGGUAGAUGAAGAAUCAGUGAUACAGCACAACUCAACUUAUUAAGCCCUUUCUGAGUGCUAGGUGAAUUGAAUAGGAGCUGGAGCUUGCCCUUUAUUCAUAGGUAAGGAGAGAAGACCAACAUGUUAAAAAAAAUUACAGCAGUGUGUCAAAUGCUUUUCAUGGAGUCUCAGGUGAUACAAGAAGCACGAGAUCCUUCUCCACACCACUGCUUCACAUGGCUAGCCUUAAAAGAAUUUAGAAGAAAACAAAACACAGAAGAGAAAACCCCUAACUCAACCUCAUAGAGGCAGAAAAGGUUUGAUAGAGAAAAUGUUAGAACAAAGUAAGUGUAAAAGCUAGCUAGCAAGAUUGUGGGGACAUUCUAGGCAAAGGAAUAGCAAGAGUGAAGGCACACAGUCCUUAGGCAAUAAGUAAGCAGGAGGGAGAUGGUACAUUCAUAUUUAAAUACUGGGUAAUAGGACAGGAAAAACUCCAGGGUAGGGGGAAUAUUGAAAGAACACGUAAUUAGGCUUUCAGAGAGCAAUUAGGAGGCAGUUGCAAUAACCUAGGCCUGAAAGAUGAGGAUGUGUCAUGGUAGUGGCAGAAGAAAUUAAGAGCAGGAGGUGGGUUAAUUUGCUGGACAGGAUGUACAGUGGCGAGGAUGUGGACAUGGGCCCUGGAACACACAGAGAGGAACUCUUGAUGACUCUCGGGUUCUGGCUUGGUGGUGAUGUGGGUGGCAGCUGUAACUUUGGCACCAGUGUGGCAGGUGGGGAGCAGAAGAGAGAGGGAAAUGAGCAAUUCUGUUUGAGACCCGUUAAGUUUAAGCCUCAAAAUAAACAACUGGUUAAAGUUGGCGCUCAAAGUGAAAACAAAAUUGCCAUGUCCCUUGCCAAAAAGGCACAUCCUCCUGGAUGAUUUGGUGCAUUAGAAAAUAAUCGAGAACAUAGCUUCUGUUUUUUCUCUGUGUGUUUUGGUGAUUUGCAUUUGGCUUUUAAUUAGACUGAGAAGAUUUUGAGAAUUAUAAUAGCCAUAUUGACUUUUAGAACACAUUCUGUUUGAUUAAACCAAAGACUUCAAAAUCGAACUAUUUAUGCAGCUUUUCAUUAUUUAUUUUUGUCUGUUGACUGCAGUUCACUCAUAUCACUCUUAGUCAUAAGUGGGUAAUGCCUUAGUUUGCCCAAUUGUUGGUAGAAGUUUGAACUGACAUCAGAUUAUGUUGUGUCAAAGGGUGGGAAGGGUUUGGAUGGUGACAUCCACUUAUCCUCAUUCACAUAGUCGCAUUAUGAUGUGGUGAUCCUUUCUAUUUCAAAGAAAUAGUACAUUUAGCUCAGUAUUUCAGUCUGUUUACAACAGGUCAACCUUGCAUAUCAGAGUGAAGCUACAUGUUCUUAUUGUGAAUCCUAAUAUGGAAGUAUAUGCUU